UACGUAGGGGGCAAGCGUUGUCCGGAUUUAUUGGGCGUAAAGAGCGUGUAGGCGGCCAGACAGGUCCGUUGUGAAAACUAGAGGCUUAACCUCUAGACGUCGAUGGAAACCGUUUGGCUAGAGUCCGGAAGAGGAGAAUGGAAGUUCCUGGUGUAGCGGUGAAAUGCGCAGAUAUCAGGAAGAACACCCGUGGCUAAGGCGGUUCUCUAGUACGGUACUGACGCUGAGACGCGAAAGCGUGGGGAGCGAACAGG
rnacentral:rRNA from 1 species